AGAAGAGCCAUCCACAAAUCACAAACUACUCUAUAUGCAUGGCUUGGCCUACCCGGGCUUCCAUAGCUGCCAAUAGCACCCUCUGCUGGGGCCAGUUCCGUCUACCACCAACGCCCUGUACCAAGAUCAUCUCGGUGUACAAGCAAUGGCUUUGCAAAGAGGUUUAGUGUAGCGGCCAAUAGGAGCUCGGAAAGUUCAUAUGAUACCUUGUCAAAUUUUCCCAACACCGCUCAAUCCAUU
rnacentral:lncRNA from 1 species